rnacentral:rRNA from 1 species
AUUGAACGCUGGCGGCAGGCCUAACACAUGCAAGUCGAGCGGGGUUUUCGGACCUAGCGGCGGACGGGUGAGUAAUGCGUAGGAAGCUACCCGAUAGAGGGGGAUACCAGUUGGAAACGACUGUUAAUACCGCAUAAUGUCUACGGACCAAAGUGUGGGACCUUCGGGCCACAUGCUAUCGGAUGCGCCUACGUGGGAUUAGCUAGUUGGUGGGGUAAUGGCUCACCAAGGCGACGAUCCCUAGCUGGUUUGAGAGGAUGAUCAGCCACACUGGAACUGAGGCACGGUCCAGACUCCUACGGGAGGAAGCAGUGGGGAAUAUUGGACAAUGGGCGCAAGCCUGAUCCAGCCAUGCCGCGUGUGUGAAGAAGGCCUUCGGGUUGUGAAGCACUUUCAGCGAGGAGGAAAGGUUGUUGGCUAAUAUCCAGCAGCUGUGACGUUACUCGCAGAAGAAGCACCGGCUAACUCCGUGCCAGCAGCCGCCGUAAGAC